rnacentral:rRNA from 1 species
GCAGUGGGGAAUUUUGGACAAUGGGGGCAACCCUGAUCCAGCAAUGCCGCGUGUGUGAAGAAGGCCUUCGGGUUGUAAAGCACUUUUGUCCGGAAAGAAAUGGCUCUGGUUAAUACCCGGGGUCGAUGACGGUACCGGAAGAAUAAGCACCGGCUAACUACGUGCCAGCAGCCGCGGUAAUACGUAGGGUGCGAGCGUUAAUCGGAAUUACUGGGCGUAAAGCGUGCGCAGGCGGUUUUGUAAGACAGGCGUGAAAUCCCCGAGCUCAACUUGGGAAUGGCGCUUGUGACUGCAAGGCUAGAGUAUGUCAGAGGGGGGUAGAAUUCCACGUGUAGCAGUGAAAUGCGUAGAGAUGUGGAGGAAUACCGAUGGCGAAGGCAGCCCCCUGGGACGUCACUGACGCUCAUGCACGAAAGCGUGGGGAGCAAACAGGAUUAGAUACCCUGGUAGUCCACGCCCUAAACGAUGUCAACUAGUUG